rnacentral:tRNA from 2 species
GCGUCCGUAGCUCAGCUGGAUAGAGUACCUGGCUACGAACCAGGCGGUCAGAGGUUCGAAUCCUCUCGGAUGCGCCA